GAUGCGGUAGCUAUAGUCAAAGCGUAGGACUUUUAACCCUAAGAAAAUUUUAAGAUUUCGCGUCU
rnacentral:tRNA from 1 species